rnacentral:misc_RNA from 1 species
GCCAAGGAAGAGACACUUAAGAGAUUUGGGAUCCAAAUUAGUAACAUGUGGACGAACAUCUCUCAUAAAACAAGUACUGCCAAAGAUACGAGGUUCAAUAGAAAACAAAGAUUUAGAUGGAAACAAAAUCGUAUAAGGAUUGUCACCAUUAAGCACAGAUGAUGGCAUACGAUUAAUCAGGAAACAAGCUGUAGAAACUGCAUCAUAUCAAAAUUGUUUAGGGACUUUCAUU